AUAUUCCUCAGAGAGAUAGGGUGAAGAAGCCUUGACAGGGUUCAGCCGAGCGAAGCGAGACAACGUUGCCCGGCGAAGCCGAAAAGGCAACGGCCCGAAGGGCAAGGGAGCGUAGCGACCGAGUAAAUCCCUAUCUCUCCGCCA
rnacentral:sRNA from 1 species